rnacentral:rRNA from 1 species
GACGAACGCUGGCGGCGUGCCUAAUACAUGCAAGUAGAACGCUGAAGGAGGAGCUUGCCCUUCUGGAUGAGUUGCGAACGGGUGAGUAACGCGUAGGUAACCUGCCUGGUAGCGGGGGAUAACUAUUGGAAACGAUAGCUAAUACCGCAUAAGAGUAGAUGUUGCAUGACAUUUACUUAAAAGGUGCAAUUGCAUCACUACCAGAUGGACCUGCGUUGUAUUAGCUAGUUGGUGGGGUAACGGCUUACCAAGGCGACGAUACAUAGCCGACCUGAGAGGGUGAUCGGCCACACUGGGACUGAGACACGGCCCAGACUCCUACGGGAGGCAGCAGUAGGGAAUCUUCGGCAAUGGACGGAAGUCUGACCGAGCAACGCCGCGUGAGUGAAGAAGGUUUUCGGAUCGUAAAGCUCUGUUGUAAGAGAAGAACGAGUGUGAGAGUGGAAAGUUCACACUGUGACGGUAUCUUACCAGAAAGGGACGGCUAACUACGUG